GACGGCUUCAACGCGCAAGUGCGCAUCGAAGCAGUCGAACUCGUUGGCGCAGAAAGCUAUAUUCAUGCCGCGCUCAGCGACGGCAAGCCGUUGAUCUUCCGCGUUGCAGGCCGCUCCACACAUAAUAUCGAUGAAAUGGUCCGCGUUGGUGCAUCCGCCACGGAUGUACAUAUUUUCGGCGCGGACGGACGCCGCGUGAGCGACUGAUUCAUGCCAAAACCCGGUGAGCCUCGUUCGUCGGGUUUUAGAGCGCAUCCCGAAAAGUGUGAAACGGUUUUCGGAAAAGAUGCGCGUCAAAACAAAGGAUUAGAGCGCCGAUCUGAUUCAAU
rnacentral:misc_RNA from 1 species